rnacentral:lncRNA from 1 species
UUAGAAAGGAGAUAAGAAGAGAUAAGAUAAAGGCACACAAACCAAUUAUAAAUAUAGAGAAAGAUGAAAACCACUGAGAGCCUCCUUUUCUUCCAGUACUAGAAGACAUUUGGAGACUGCUUGUGUAUGGAAUCAGUUCCUGAAAUAAAACCAUCCAAUUUAAUUUUCAACUCUUUGAGUAUCGAGGACACCUGUCUGGUGGUUUGAGAGAAGACAUGGAUCUUACAGAAGAUUUGCACCCUCCUCGAUUAGCAACUGAAGAUACAGCAGUAGCAAUCUUAGCAGGUUAUCAUCAUCUAUUACUCAAGAGCAUGCUGGUUAUCUUAAAUCCCGGUCUCACCACAUUCAGUAUUUCAAGUUGUGGUACCGCCAUCUUUGGAGUCUUGAUCCUACAAUCAAACCUGCAGAUGAAAAAUUCAGUGAAAAGCUGACAGG